ACUCCUUGGCCGCCACCCUCCCCUGCCCAUCUCCUCCUCUCUCAAUUCUUGCAGCCACACCACCAUACCCUAGCCGCCCCCCCCCCCAAUCUCCUCCUCCCAAGGUGCCAACCCUUGCCGCUCGGAUCAUCGUCACGUGGUGCGAGUCUUCAAUCGUUUUGGUGGAGGGAAGAAGGGAGGAAGGAAAGGGGGAGAAUUCAAGGUGAUUUUUGUGUUCAUCCCUUGUUCAUUUGCGCUGCGAUUCAAUUGAUUGGAUGUUGCGUUUGCGAUUGGGUAGAGGGGGCUGUCCAGAAUUUUAGGUGGUGGAUGAACAGCGGAAGUUCUAGCAGUUUCUAGGUUUUUUUCGUGAAAAUUUAAUGGGGAUCAAUGUGGGGAUCAUGUAGAACUUUGUUUUACCUUUCCAACGAGUAUUUAUGCGCUCAAUUUGGAGUUAUAAAUUAAAAGUUAUCAUCGUUUGAAUCCGGGUAUGUGGCUGUCCAAAAACAGAUUUUCAGGAGGAUGAACAGCAGCAGUAUUAGCAGUUUCUGGGGUUUUUUCGGGAGUAAUUAGUGUUAAUCAGUAUGAGAUUCAUGUAGGGUUUUUUCUUAUCUUUCCAACAAGUACUUAUGCGCUCGAAUCGGAAUUAUAUUUUAAAAGUUAUCGCUGUUUGAAUCCGAGUAUGUCGCUGCCCAAAACAGAAAAAAACAGAUUUGCAGGGUUUAUUUUGUGGACCGUUUAGAGGUAAUUAGAUGUUAGAAUUUAAUCAUAAAUUGUAUACAAAACUUGUGGGGAAUUUUAUGUAGUUGUCUCUGGAGUUUUUGUUUUACACCACUGCUGUCUUAAUUUUUAAGUUAUGGAAUUGUUAAGCAGCGCCGCUGCAGUUUGGUUGGUGAUGGGAGAAUUGUUACCCGCGGCGGGGUUUGAGAUUGCGCGUAGGUGCGGUGUUGUCUUUGAGGUUUUUUUAUGUGAAUUUGGUGCACUAAGUUGGGUGUCAAAAACAGGUGGUGGACUUCCGGAUCGUUCUUAGGGAUUUUGCCCAAACUUCCGGUGAAGACAAGUAAAACUGUGAUGGUUAUUCCGUCUGUUAGAUGAGGUGUCUUAUACUUGAUUAUGCUGUGCUAUUGUGUUCAUAUUCAUAUUUUCUUUUGAGUACCAUCAUUUGAAAAUGUUCAUGUUUCAUGGAUUUCAUAUGUUGAGUUUGAGGUUUGAUUAUGUUACUCAAGUGGUUAUUAUGUGGAAUGGGUGGAAGUAAAUGUCUAGCACAUUUUUAUUUGGGAAGAACACAUGAUGUUGUCAUGCAUAAUGCACUCAUCAUCCAUUGCAUUGAAGUUUCGUCGCGAUCUUAUGGUCCGACCGUACCGGUACAUGGAGCAUCAUAUGUUGCCCGAGAAGGGGUAUGGUGCAGCUUCAUAUCCUUAGAGAUAUGGAGGCAGAAGUCAUUAUUGCAUUUGUAGCCAUGUGCAUUCAUGGGAGAGGUGUGGAAACUAUUAUGUGGAUGGGGAUAAUUUGGACUUAUGCAUGGUGAUUCUACUUGGCGUUGAGUUUUUAGUUACUUGUUUGCUUGCUGCAAUUUACUGUUCAAAAGAAAGAAAAGAAGUUCUGAACCACGUGGUUGUGUAAGCACAGUUGAUUUACAAUGUCCUAUUUAUUGUUGUUAUGUUUACUUGCUGAUAUGUGUUAUCUCACAUCUUGCAUUGUUUGAUGCAGGCACCUAAUUUCUGCUUUUGGGAAUAGAGGGAUGUAGCAGCACGGCCACUUCACCUUUAAAUAAAGGAACCACCACUUAAUACUGUUGUUAAUCAGAGUUGGUCAAGUCUAGUGUAUUACUUUGUUCUUGGUUGAGCGUUUGUUUUGGGGUGGGCUGAGUUCCUUAUCCUAUUUGUUUUGUUUCAGUUGGGUCAUAAUUAAGUUUUACCACUUUUGCAUUUUAGUUUCUACUAUGUGAAUUAUAUGUCUUUAUAUCUUGUAUGAGCUUCAUGUUUUCCCUCCUUGUUAUGCUAGUUUUCAAAGGAGGUGCUGCCGGAUUUUUGCUGUAUAUUCUUUCUUUAUUACAUCUCUUGUGUUGAGUAAGUUUGGUGGGUGGGGUUUGUGGUAUUAUCCAUUGUGUGUGACCAGUGGGGUGUUACACUGCUACAAGCGUUGGCCAACGCGCAUAGAGGAAGGGAGAGAG
rnacentral:lncRNA from 1 species